rnacentral:rRNA from 1 species
GUGUCAGCAGCCGCGGUAAAACGUAGGAGGCAAGCGUUAUCCGAAUUUACUGGGUGUAAAGCGCGUGCAGGCGGUUCGGUAAGUUGGAUGUGAAAUCUCCUGGCUCAACUAGGAGAGGUCGUUCAAAACUGCCGGGCUAGAGGACGGUAGAGGAAGGUGGAAUUCCCGGUGUAGUAGUGAAAUGCGUAGAUAUCGGGAGGAACACCUGUGGCGAAAGCGGCCUUCUGGGCCGUACCUGACGCUCAGACGCGAAAGCUAGGGGAGCGAACGGGAUUAGAUACCCUAGUAGUCC